ensembl:lncRNA
GGAAGAUCCGCUGGAGGAGGAAAUGGCAAUCUACUCCAGUAUUCUUGCCUGGAAAAUCCCCUGGACAGAGGAGCCUGGAGGGCUGCAGUCCAUGGGGUCACAAAGAGUUGGACACGACUUGAGUGACUACGCAGACGACCCAGGCGGAUUCUUUACCGACUGAGCCACCUGGGAAGGCGGGGAAGCCCCACACCAUUGCCAAAGAGUUGUUUUUACAGGAAGCAGACUGCCCUCCAGAUGAAAACUGCUGACCACAAGAAGACCCUCAACUGGUCAAAACCAGAAGGUUGAUGAUGCUUGAAAGUUCACCUGGAUGCCAACCAAUCCUAGAAUUAUCCAGGAGCUGAUCACGCCCUGCUUCUCAAGCUCUGCUACACUCUUAAAACUCCUCACUACCCUCUCCAGGGUAUAAAAUGCAAGGAAAAGAACUGUUUACACUUUGCCUCCAGUUCGAGUGAUGUAAACUGAAGAAAGAUCUUCUACUCUGGCUAGUUUUAAAUGUCGCCUUCCCCUACAAGGUGAUGACAC